rnacentral:tRNA from 1 species
GCCGGAUUAGCUCAGCUGGUAGAGCACUCGCCUUGUAAGCGAGGUGUCGUGGGUUCGAGUCCUACAUCCGGCA